AUGGAAUAUACGAUGCUAUUCUAGGAAGUGACUUUGUCAUUACUAGAGUUGCAUUUCGAGACAACUCUUCAAAGUACUACAUAAAUGACCGUGAAAGUAAUUUUACAGAGGUCGCUAAGAAAUUGAAAGGAAAGGAGUGGACUUGGACAACAAUCGGUUUUUGAUUCUUCAGGGUGAAGUCGAGCAAAUUUCUCUAAUGAUGCCAAAGAUUUGUCUUUUCAGCAUUAUUGUAAUUGUAAUUGUAAUUGUAAUUGAUUGAAUGAAGGAUUGUAAUUGAUUGUAAUUGUAAUUGAUUGAAUGAAGGAUUGUAAUUGAUUGUAAUUGAAUAAAUGAAUGAUUGUAAUUGAUUGUAA